rnacentral:tRNA from 1 species
GGGGUUGUGACUCAGUGGUAGAGCACUCACCUAGCAUGUGUGAGGCCCUGGAUUCAAUUCUCAGCACCACA